UGAGGAAUAUUGGUCAAUGGACGAGAGUCUGAACCAGCCAAGUAGCGUGAAGGAUGACUGCCCUAUGGGUUGUAAACUUCUUUUAUAUGGGAAUAAAGUGAGCCACGUGUGGCUUUUUGUAUGUACCAUACGAAUAAGGAUCGGCUAACUCCGUGCCAGCAGCCGCGGUAAUACGGAGGAUCCGAGCGUUAUCCGGAUUUAUUGGGUUUAAAGGGAGCGUAGGCGGACUAUUAAGUCAGCUGUGAAAGUUUGCGGCUCAACCGUAAAAUUGCAGUUGAUACUGGUCGUCUUGAGUGCAGUAGAGGUAGGCGGAAUUCGUGGUGUAGCGGUGAAAUGCUUAGAUACCACGAAGAACUCCGAUUGCGAAGGCAGCUUACUGGACUGUAACUGACGCUGAUGCUCGAAAGUGUGGGUAUCAAACAGGAUUAGAUACCCUGGUAGUCCACACAGUAAACGAUGAAUACUCGCUGUUUGCGAUAUACAGCAAGCGGCCAAGCGAAAGCAUUAAGUAUUCCACCUGGGGAGUACGCCGGCAACGGUG
rnacentral:rRNA from 1 species